GACGAACGCUGGCGGCGUGCUUAACACAUGCAAGUCGAACGGUAAGGCCCUUCGGGGUACACGAGCGGCGAACGGGUGAGUAACACGUGGGUGAUCAGCCCUGCAUUUCGGGACACGCCUGGGAAACUGGAUCUAAUACCGGAUAGGACUCCUGGCUUCAUGGACGGGGGUGGAAAGCUUUUGCGGUGUGGGAUGGGCCCGCGGCCUAUCAGCUUGUUGGUGGGGGAAUGGCCGACCAAGGCGACGACGGGUAGCCGGCCUGGGAGGGUGACCGGUCACACUGGGACUGAGAUACGCCCCAGACUCCUACGGGAGGCAGCAGUGGGGAAUAUUGCACAAUGGGCGCAAGCCUGAUGCAGCGACGCCGCGUGAGGGAUGACGGCCUUCGGGUUGUAAACCUCUUUCAGCUAUGACGAAGCGCGAGUGACGGUAGUAGCAGAAGAAGGACCGGCCAACUACGUGCCAGCCGCCGCAGUAA
rnacentral:rRNA from 1 species